rnacentral:tRNA from 1 species
CAAGUAAGAAGGAUAGAAUGUGCGUCCGUAGCUCAGUUGGUUAGAGCACCACCUUGACAUGGUGGGGGUCGAUG